CAAUAGCGUAUAUUAAAGUUGUUGCAGUUAAAAAGCUCGUAGUUGGAUUUCUGGUUGAAGCGACCGGUCGGGCGUUGAUUCGUCUGCACUGGAGUCGGUUUUGGCCAUCCUCUAGGAAAGUGCGUCUGGUAUUAAGUUAUCGGGCGUAUGAUCCUGGUCUUUUACUGUGAAAAAAUUAGAGUGUUUAAAGCAGGCCUUCGCCUUGAACACAUUAGCAUGGAAUAAUAAGAUAGGACUUUGGUCUAUUUUGUUGGUUUGCAGACCGAAGUAAUGAUUAAUAGGGAUAGUUGGGGGUAUUUAUAUUCCGAUGUCAGAGGUGAAAUUCUUAGAUUUUCGGAAGAUAAACUUAUGCGAAAGCAUUUACCAAGGAUGUUUUCAUUAA
rnacentral:rRNA from 1 species